AUUGAACGCUGGCGGAAUGCUUUACACAUGCAAGUCGAGCGGCAGCACGGACUUCGGUCUGGUGGCGAGUGGCGAACGGGUGAGUAAUGUAUCGGAACGUGCCCAGUCGUGGGGGAUAACGUAGUGAAAAUUACGCUAAUACCGCAUACGAUCUAUGGAUGAAAGCGGGGGAUCGCAAGACCUCGCGCGAUUGGAGCGGCCGAUAUCAGAUUAGGUAGUUGGUGGGGUAAAGGCCCACCAAGCCAACGAUCUGUAGCUGGUCUGAGAGGACGACCAGCCACACUGGAACUGAGACACGGUCCAGACUCCUACGGGAGGCAGCAGUGGGGAAUUUUGGACAAUGGGCGAAAGCCUGAUCCAGCCAUUCCGCGUGCAGGAUGAGGGCCCUCGGGUUGUAAACUGCUUUUGUACAGAACGAAAAGGUUUCUACUAAUACUAGGAGCUCAUGACGGUACUGUAAGAAUAAGCACCGGCUAACUACGUGCCAGCCGCCGCGGUAA
rnacentral:rRNA from 1 species